UGCAGGGGGAGAGUGGUGGCCAACCACUUAUUUCAAGAAGAAGAGAUUUGGGUCAAAUGCAAUCCAGUGCAGUCUAAAACUAUAUAUAUUUGUAUCUGUGGUCCUGCCUCUUGUAUGAUUGCAGAUGUGAUAUCUGGCCUGGGUUCCUAAAGCUUUCUCUUUCAGUGCUUAUGUAAAUCUGUAUUUUACAUACAUUUUAGAACUAAACCCACGGUAACCAACCAGAUAAACUGAAGAAAUACUCAUCAGAAGAGCAUUUCUUCAGAUCACUGUCAGUCAUACCGAAAGAAGGGUUCCAUUGGCCUGUGGCUUUUUGGGUUUUCAUUACCAAAGCAGAGACAACGAAACGCUGACGUUCGUACCCCGUUAUGUCUGCGUGUGUGCAGGAAGUGGGCACAACCGAAAAGAGAAGCUGCCACGAGAGGGAAGUGAGAGUUUGCUAGGGCUGACCUGCUGAUAAACACUGCCAAGCCUUGAACUACUGCGAACUAUUUGUCUUUGUAGAUUUUUUUUUUUUUUUGAAUGUGCAAUAUUCUUAAAUUUAUUUGUUACCCCUCCAUCCUAGUACAUCCCUGCAUCUUACUCAAUCCCGUUCCAUUAUCAUUUAUUGCACAACUGUUUAUACACUUACUUAUUUGCCAAUUUCUUUUUCUUUUUCUUUUUUUUUAUGUGUGUUUUUGUCUCUGUGUACUGGAAGCUUAUGUCACUAAAACAAAUUCCUUGUAUGCGCAAGUUUACUUGGCA